UACGAAGGGGGCUAGCGUUGCUCGGAAUCACUGGGCGUAAAGGGUGCGUAGGCGGGUCUUUUAAGUCAGGGGGUGAAAUCCUGGAGCUCAACUCCAGAACUGCCUUUGAUACUGAAGAUCUUGAGUUCGGGAGAGGUGAGUGGAACUGCGAGUGUAGAGGUGAAAAUUUGUAGAUAUUCGCAAGAACACCAGUGGCGAAGGCGGCUCACUGGCCCCGAUACUGACGCUGAGGGCACGAAAAGCGUGGGGGAGCAAACAGGGAAUUAGAAAACC
rnacentral:rRNA from 1 species